UACGGAGGGGACUAGCGUUGUUCGGAAUUACUGGGCGUAAAGCGCACGUAGGCGGAUUUGUUAGUCAGGGGUGAAAUCCCGAGGCUCAACCUCGGAACUGCCUUUGAUACUGCAAAUCUCGAGUCCGGAAGAGGUGAGUGGAAUUCCUAGUGUAGAGGUGAAAAUUCGUAGAUAUUAGGAAGAACACCAGUGGCGAAGGCGGCUCACUGGUCCGGUACUGACGCUGAGGUGCGAAAGCGUGGGGAGCGAACAGG
rnacentral:rRNA from 1 species